rnacentral:rRNA from 1 species
GUGUCAGCAGCCGCGGUAAUACGUAGGGGGCAAGCGUUGUCCGGAUUUACUGGGCGUAAAGCGCGUGUAGGCGGAAGCGAAAGUCCGGUGUGAAAGCCCCCCGCUCAACGGGGGAAGGUCGCUGGAAACUGCGCUUCUUGAGGACGGCAGAGGGAAGUGGAAUUGCUGGUGUAGCGGUGAAAUGCGUAGAGAUCAGCAGGAACACCCGUGGCGAAGGCGGCUUCCUGGGCCGUGCCUGACGCUGAGACGCGAAAGCGUGGGGAGCGAACGGGAUUAGAAACCCUCGUAGUCC